rnacentral:rRNA from 1 species
AAUUUAAUUCAUGCGUUUUGUUUAGAUUUUUACUGUUGUUUAUUUGUCUUUAUUGGGCGCUAAGAUUAAGGGGGAUUAGCUCCUUGUUUUGUUUUUAUAAUUUUUGUGUGUAAUUUAGUUUUGUGGAUUUUAUAGUGAUUUUCGAUUUGAUUAUGUUAAAAUUUUAUUUAUUUUUUUUGUUAUUUUAUUUUGUUUAAUUAUUUAUUGGAAUGUUUUCUUUACUUUUUGUUGGAUUGUAAUUAUUGUGGGAUUAGUAAAUUUGUUUAUUGUAUUGUUUAUAUUUCUGUUUAAUUUCUUUUGAGGAAUUAGGCAAAAUUUUGUGUGUCCGCCUGUUUAACAAAAACAUCUUUUCUUGUUAGUUUUUGAAGUAUGGCCUGCCCGCUGACGUUUAAGUUGAAGGGCCGCGGUAUUUUGACCGUGCAAAGGUAGCAUAAUCAUUAGUUCUUUAAUUGUGAUCUGGAAUGAAUGGCUUGACGAGGCAUGAGCUGUCUUAGUGUUGAAUGUUUUAUUGAAUUUGGUCUUUGAGUUAAAAUUCUUAGAUGUUUUUAUGGGACGAGAAGACCCUAUAGAGUUUAACAUUUGGUUUAUUUAUUUAUUGGUUGUUUGUUUGUUUUUUGGUAAGUGGGCCUUUUGUUUUGUUGGGGUGAUGAGAGGAAUGAUUUAACUCCUCUUGGUUUUGGUUAUAUUGAUUUAUA